rnacentral:sRNA from 1 species
UUUUUUUCUCAUCUCAUACCAGUCAUCUUCUGUAGGAUCUUCAGUCUAAGCUAACCCUUUUAAGGUUUUCUUCUUGUGGUCAAAAGUUCUCUUCAGCUUGCUGAGUUGAGAAGUAUAGUUGAAUCUUGGUGGGAUUCCAGCUUCUGUUUCUUCAUCAACAUUCAUGUCAUGCACUUCGCAAUUCUGCCCUUCUCCUGUUGGUUUUCCUGAAGCAUCGCUGAUGUUAAAUUUCAUCUUCAUGCAUUUUUCAAGGUUCAGAUUAAUCUUUACAUUCCUGACAUCUAUGACUGCUCCAGCUGAAGCAAAGAAUGGUCUAUCUAGGAUCAGAGGAU